AUGCACAAGUCGGAGGAGACGUACGUGGAGGCCGCGCAUCCACGCAAACCAACUACUCCCGUCUGUUUUGCUGCAUAUAAAAUUCAUUCAGGUGCCUGCCUGAUGAGUGAUCAGCUCAACUUUCCUUUCCAUCUCUGCUUCAUUCGUUGUGCGGCCGCGCGAGAGUUUGCUAACGAAAUGGUGUGUCAUAGAAAUAGUCCCAUGAACGGCAGGCGUGGAGGACUCAUGGCAGGUGCUCGUUUUGUGCAGGUGCAGGGGCCGAGCCCGGUGGUGAAGCUGGGGGCGUGGGGCAGCGACGGCGGGGCCGCCCACGACAUCGACGUCACCGCGGCGCCGCCGCACCGGCUGGAGAGCAUCGCCCUCCGCUGGGGCAAGGUCAUCGACUCCCUCGCCUUCACCUACACCGACAAGGACGGGCAGCCGCACGCCGCCGGGCCCUGGGGCGGCGCCGGAGGCGUGUCGGAAGACCUGAUCACCCUGGCCCCCUCGGAGUACGUGACGGAGGUCGGCUGGACCGUGGGCCCGUUCAAGCUCAAGGAGAUAAAGGCCUGCGUCACCUCGCUCAAGUUCGUGACCAACCUGGGGACCACCUACGGCCCCUUCGGCAACGGGGACGGCACGCACCACAGCCUGCCCGUGCUCGACGCCGGCAGCGUCGUCGGCAUGUUCUGCCGCGCCGACGACUACCUCCAUGCCAUCGGCUUCUACGUCCGACCCUUGGCCAUCGUCAAAUCCACCACGGCCUCGCCAGCCAAGCCUCAAGGGGAGAGUUUGCCUGCCCUAGCCACCGAGGGAUAG
rnacentral:rRNA from 1 species